UAUUUCUCUCUCAUUUAGAGGUCAAAUUCAAUUAAUUAACUAUUAAUUUUGGUGGCAAGGAAUAUCUGUUUAUAGUACCAAUAUCUCUGAGUCCAUCAUGGGACAAUUGUCAUUUAUAUAUUAGUAUUCAUUUAAAUUCCAUGCUCCUCACCUAAUUCACAGCUAAGAUCAAUUGACUUAAGAAAAUUAAAAUCUUGAUUGCCAUGGUAAUGAAAUGCCAUGAGCUAAAACAGCUUGAGGGCGCUAGGGAUAUUUGGGAAGCACCAAAGUCAAAUUUCAACUAUUUUAAAAUUUUGCUUGGGUCAGCCCUAUUCCUCCUUAAAAAAAAGGAAGAAAGGUGUCAGUGCUCUUUGCCAUUCUCACCUCCCUGCUGCUAGCAUACAGGAGUAUUAAUGCCUAAUUAAUGAGUAACAUCAGAAUCAUCCUUCCAAAAGGAUACUAAGGAUGGCCACACUAAAAGGCAGACAGGAUUUCCCACUGUGGCACAGUGGAAAUGAAUCUGACUAGUAUCCCUGAGGAUGCGGGUUCAAUCCCUGGCCUCGCUCAGUGGGUUGGGGAUCUGGGCAUUGCUGUGAGCUGUGAUGUAGGUCACAGACAUGGCUUGGAUCCCAGGUUGCUGUGGCUGUGGUAUAGGCUGGCAGCUGUAGCUCUGAUUUGACCUCUAACCUGGAAAAGUCCAUGUGCCACUGGUGUGGCCCUAAAAAGAAAAAAGAAAAGAAAAAAAGGCAGACAACAUGUAAAAACACUUAGUCAAUCAAAGACAAAUUAAGCAAAAAUAAGUGAGAUAUAUAAGAGAGACAAGCCCAUUGAAAUAUAUGAGAGCUGAUUAGUGGUGACUUAUUCUACAUUUUAUUGAGUUCAAAUCUAAAAAGAACUAAAUUUCAUGUAUAUCAUAGACUGGAUUAUGAUGAUAGUCAUUGAUACUGAAAGAGAUAAGAGACAUUGGUUCAAAACUUCCAAUUACUUACUCACUUCUUCAUUGCACCAUAUCCACGAUUAUGUUGUGAUUUUUCUAUAGCUUAAUAUUUCUGAAACAAAGGGGAAAAGAAUGCUGCUUUCUCUCCAUCCAUAUAUUUGUUCCCUCUUACCCCUGGCCAGGUAAAGUCACAGAACUUUUAUUUUAAGUCAUGCCCUCCACAUCACACCUAUACGAAGUGUGGGUAAGGGGCAUAAUGGCUAAGAAUAAAGAAAAGUGUGUAAUUAUUUCCUAAAAAGGUUUCAGUAUUCUUCCAUCAGCAAUACUAAUGCACAUGCUCUUUGUUCAGGUUACGAAGUCACAGAGGAGCUGCAAAAGAUGACACUGUAAGUCCAAAUCCAUGUCUGUACAAGGCUCAGUGGCACACCAUGAGGAGUGCUCAUCUAAGAGCUAGGAAAGAAUAAGAGGUGAACAAUUUUUGAGUGUCUGUUCUACAUCAGACAAAGACACUUUAUAGCCAUUACUCCACUACAUUUCCACACUUCUCUGAGCAUCCCUAGUUUUGAAGAUGAAGACCUAGGACUCAAAGACUUGCCCGAUGUCAGAGUUGCAGAAUCUGGAUAUACAUUCUGCACUGACUCAAGCCUGGGACCCAUCUACUUCCACAUGCCUGAUUUCUAGUUCCAAGCUUGUCAUUGGUUAUGUUGAUAUAAACAAGUCACUUUCCUAAGGUGUUAAUUUAGGGAGUUGUACCAGGACACAUCUGGAUCUUGGGAAUAUCUAAAUUAGUAAAACUUAAUUAGGUGAAACUAAAUACCUUCAUGCCAUUGCCAUGAAUGCAUCACACAGAAGGUACACAGAAAUCUAUUGCUAAACACUAGCGAAAGGGUUCUCAUCCCACAGGGAUUGAGCUUCCUGAACAAUUAUGUCCUCAACUCUGCCAGGACAGCUGAAAUCUACUCUAGACAGUGAUGACCACAGGAAGGAAAAGAUGUAAAAUCAAAGAGAAUCCAAAAUCUCUCUGCUAUUCCUACUUUUUCUAAUGUUACCAAGUCCAGGCUUGUACUGCUUGCCACAUACUGGGGCAAGAAAUAGUGACAUUUUUAGAAAGCCAGCAGACUGAGAAAAUGGUAGACUUGUGUCCUAAAGAACCACUUACCUGAGUUAGAAUCUAAGCUUCUUUUACAUUGAAGGGAGUCGGGGGCAUGUGGUUAGUUGUUGCAAACUUCUUGGUGUCAGAAUCCUUUGUUCUUGCAUCUGUCUGUGUAGGUCAGGUCAUGAUGUUUUUGUAAACCUCCAACAAGACAAGUGUAUUUUCUGCUCUGCAAUUUUUCAUUUCUAUAUGAAUGGAAAAGUUCUAUCUUUAAAGGCCAGAGCUUUUAGAAUGGGCUAUCAUGUAUAUUUUAGGCUACAGGCAACAUUAUUUUCUUGCAGCAAUAACAAUAGAAUACAAAGGUAAAAUAAACAGACCCAAUGUGGAGUCAGAUUUGUUCUUCCCUAUUACACCAAUUCACUGUGUUUUCCAAACGAGAUUCCUUUUGUUCCUCCUCGUCUUCCUCCUCCAAAAUUUAAUCAAAACAAGAAAGAAUUAUUACAGUUGAGGUCAAUGAUCUAUAUCAACAAAUAAUAGCACAUGAAAGGUAGGGGUGAAACGCUAGUAGAUGUUAGGUUAUUAAAUUUAAUAAAGAAUAAUGCAGCUUGAAAAGUGCUUUGGGUUUGUCAUAAAUUAAUACUGGGUAGCCAACAAUAUGUUUAUUGUUUUACAGCUAAGAACUGAUUAAGAAGCCCCCUAGGACCUUCUACCUUGUUACAGAAUUAAUUUUUAACAUCCUUUUCUACUUCACAAGAUUGAAAGAUGCUUGAGGAAAGAGAACAGGUUAUUUAUAUACUCAUUUUUCAUUACACCUAUAAUAUUCUUCAGACAGCUUGAAUAUCCAGUAAGUGUAUAUUAAAGUCUUCAAACAAAUAUAUAUGCCUGUUACACCUGAGACGCUCUCACUAGACGUUUAUCCAGUGGAGUUUGGAGUUUUCAUUUGUCAUAUAAUUUUUCAUAAAUAGCAAAGGCCUGAGCAAACUUCAACUCAGUUUAUCUUCCUUGUCUCUAGGGGUAGCAGAUACCAUUGCUUUGACAAUACUUAGUGAUUAUGGAAUGCAUGCAUUUUACACUUUUGACAAUAUGGAUUUAUUAUUAUUUGGUAUUUAAAAACAAAAAACUCAAAGAAUAGUUCAGAGAAAUGUGUAAAUUCCAGUGAAAGUGAAGAGUCAUAUUCAGGCAUGGUCAAGCACGACAGCAAGCAUUUUUGCUAAUUUUUCCUUUAACUUUUCAGACGACUCAUAUUUUGAGAAUUAAUAUACUGUUUGGGAUGAUUAUUUAGAAGUGGCUCACUAACCAAUUAAUCUGAACUUAUGUUAAGCAAUAGUAUGUAACACCUAUGUAUAUAACAGACGUCUUAUAAUCUGCAGUGACUAGGUGUUAUAUGGGGAAAACAGAACAGAAAUCAAUUCACUUAACUUUUUUUUUUUCCUUUUCGUCUCUUCUUGGAAACUUAAAAUUUCUUCUUAAUACUCAGAAUAAGUUGUUUCUUUAAUACCUUGUAGUUUCUUUAGAUUGAACAAUGAUGAGAUGACAGAUAUUAAGUUUAAUUUUAGCUGCAGCUGUGGUGUAGGUCACAGCUGCAGCUCAGAUUCAAUCCAUGACCUGGAAACUUUCAUAUACUGCAGGCAUGGCUUUAAAAAAGGAAAGAAAGAAUGAUAAAUACUUGAAUAAAAAAUAAUUAAAGUAAAGCAUCAACUGGUGGUAGAAACUGAGUACAAAGAUAGGUAAUGAAAGCUUUUCUCUCCAACCAAGUAUAUGUUUAUAAAGGAUGGAGAUGCCUUAGACAUGUGAAUAAAGGUGAUGUCUCAUGUUGCUCAAACCAGGACCAGGCAAGGAGAGGAGAGGAAAGAGUUCUGGGUAGUUACAUCUCUCAGCAUUGGCAGGAAAUAUGCUGCCAUAUAUGUCCAUUUGAAAAUAGCAAAAACCUUUAUUAUAUUUGCUUUAUCUUCCCUAGGGACUUCUCUUUUAUGAAUCAAGUAAGAACAUAAAAAUGAAUUGAGUCUUUUACUGCAACAUGUCUGGAAAAAUGAAUGGAUUGUGUCCUUCCAAAUUUGAAAGGAUGAAUCAAACUAAUUUGAAAACAUAUUAAUACUUGAAUGAAGGAAUGAGAAAACCAAAAAUAAAAUUAGGGAGUUUGGAUACUAAUUUUGAUUAACUCUAUUGAAUAACAGCUUUCAGUGUUGUGUCACUAACAAAAUCAUGACAGAACUAUUUCUCAAAAAGAAUAAAAUUAAUUUCAUGGGUGACCAAGGUACACAUUAAAAGUAAUAUUAUUUGCUUGCUUUCCCUGGAAGAUUUUCUGGUAUGGUGGAGUUAUAUUCAGCUGAACAGGAUCCUUGCUUCCCGACUAUUAAAACUGCAUACUGAACCUUACCUUUCUUAUCUGUAAAAUGGUAAUAACUAUUUUCUUCAUGACAUUAUUGUUAGGAAUAACCUAGAAAAUAUGCAUAACAUACCGUGGAGGUGAAGGCAUUUUAGAGAGAUUAAUGUCUUUUCACAAGGAUCUCUGC
rnacentral:lncRNA from 1 species